GCGGUCGGUCGGCGCCUAUUCUCGGGCUCUUUGGCGGACGAAGCUUCACAAAAGAUGUCUAAGCAACAGCCAACUCAGUUUAUAAAUCCAGAAACACCUGGCUAUGUUGGAUUUGCAAAUCUCCCCAAUCAAGUUCACCGAAAAUCAGUGAAAAAAGGUUUUGAGUUCACACUGAUGGUGGUCGGUGAAUCAGGUCUAGGAAAAUCGACUCUCAUAAACAGCCUAUUCCUAACUGAUCUCUACCCAGAAAGAGUCAUACCUGGAGCAGCAGAAAAAAUUGAAAGAACUGUCCAGAUUGAGGCUUCAACUGUUGAAAUUGAAGAGCGAGGGGUCAAGCUACGCCUGACAGUGGUAGAUACCCCUGGCUAUGGUGACGCUAUCAACUGCAGAGAUUGUUUUAAGACAAUUAUCUCCUAUAUUGAUGAGCAAUUUGAGAGGUACCUGCAUGACGAGAGCGGCUUGAACAGGAGGCACAUCAUUGAUAAUAGGGUGCAUUGUUGCUUUUACUUUAUUUCACCUUUUGGACAUGGGUAAGUAAUUGUUUACCGUGGAGAAAUGCUUUACUACAUGG
rnacentral:sRNA from 1 species